ACGGGUGUUUACCUGGAGUUUGAGGGAGACCCUGGGAAUUCGUUGUAGUCUCGCGGGACUGGCUCUAUUCAGCUACGAGUGCCGGGGCUCCGGAAGGUGUGCUGCGGAGCUCCGUCUUUGUUCACUCUUGUCCAAACUGCAGCUUGUGCUAGGUUCUCUUUUUCAGCCUUAUUUACUCCUCCCGGCUUUAGCUGCAGACUAUUCACUAAAAAACCCACCCAAGCACAAGCCUCGGCUUUUCCUCCCCCGGACUGUCCCGCCUUCACACUCCUCAGAGGCUUUGUGGCCGCCUGGGGUUACGGGAGACCUCUUCGCAAACUCCUCUCUAUGUACUGGGGACACAGGAGUGCUGGGUUAGAAGCAGUUGGCUUGCUAAGAUAAGAAAACCAAGGCACAGAGACGUGAAGUAACUUAUCCUGUACAAAGUCUAACAGCAAGUGGAGUCACCAUCAGAACUCAAGUAUCAGGUUCCAGAGCCAUAUGCUUAGCCACUGUGAUGUACUGCCUCCCAUAAAAAAAUGUCUCAUGUUCAUCAGGUUAAUCCUAAAGUGCCUGAAGUCAUGCUGUUGCCGCUGAUCCAUGGAACAUACUCUAAAGAACAUGGGACUAAGCAUACAGUAAUGAAUCAAAGCUAAGUCUAGAUUUUAGAAAUACAGCAAAUACAAAGCAUGGCUGCAUGAAAACAGAUUCUGCUGAAUUGCUACCUGGACAUUUAAAAAGAGCUUCCUUAGAAGAUUCCUGACUUAGCUCUAGCAAUCUUAACCAUCACAUGGGCUAAAUGAACCCUGGAUCAUUUGUUUGCCCUUUGGCAGGCUUGGAAGUUUAAGAUCAAAGUGCUGGUGAAUUCUGUUUCUGGUGAAGGCCUGCUUCCUGGCUUACAGACAGCUACCAUCUCCCUGUGUGCUCACAUGACCUCUUUGUGAGUAUGUACACAUAGACAGAAAGAGAACUCUGGUUUCUUUUCCUCUUCUUAUAAGGACACUAAUCUCGUCAUGGGGAGCCCCACACCCACCAUCUGAUUUAACUCUACCUUCCAAAGAAAGGCUCUACUGCCAAAGGCCAUCACAUUGAGGGUUAGAGCUUCAGCAUAUGAAUGGGGGCCGGACAC